UACGAAGGGGGCUAGCGUUGCUCGGAAUCACUGGGCGUAAAGCGCACGUAGGCGGUUUCUUAAGUCAGGGGUGAAAUCCUGGAGCUCAACUCCAGAACUGCCUUUGAUACUGAAGAUCUUGAGUUCGGGAGAGGUGAGUGGAACUGCGAGUGUAGAGGUGAAAUUCGUAGAUAUUCGCAAGAACACCAGUGGCGAAGGCGGCUCACUGGCCCGGUACUGACGCUGAGGUGUGAAAGCGUGGGGAGCAAACAGG
rnacentral:rRNA from 1 species